AACAGGAACAAAUUUGCCUCUGCAGACUAGGAUGAUAAAAACACAGUGAUAUCCACCUCUUCUAAACACAGCUGAAUUAAGAACCCUAGGACAAGGGUCAUAGUGGAUUGUUCAGAGAUCUGCUAAGGGCUUGUGGCCUCCUUGGGAUUCAGAGCAUUGGAUCGGGAUCGCAUCAGAAUAUUUGAUAAGGAAGACCAUCAAAGGAGGCCACUCAUCACGAGGCAAUGAGGAAUGGUGGCCAGGACCAGUGGUAGAGAAGCCCAGAGUCUGUGCACGCUGGACUUAGGGAGAGGCGGGGUAAGAUCCCAGCAGAGGAGAUCCAUCCACCCUCAGACCAGAAUGAAGCCAGUGGUUGCUGAGAAGCAGGAGUGAGAAGUUGCUGCAGCCCAGAACUAUGUCUGCUCAACAAAUGCCCCUUUUCGGGUGGGUUUCUGUUUCUUGCAACCAAAUGUGCCCCAAUUGAAAGCAUACUCAAAAGCUGCCCAUGAUGCCCAGAUGCUGGUCUCAUCUACGUCCUCAUCCUCUUUCAGCCUCUCUGCAGCAUCUGAGACUAUCCCCUGAACUCCCACCUCCAGGCUCUUUCCACCUAACGCUUUUCUAACGAGCUGCUGCAAAAUCCCACUCUCUUUCUCCUUCUCCAGUUCCUCCUCCCACCCUCUCAGUGAAGCCAACCAGGAGCUUCAGGAUUUGGUGUUCUAGCCUGGUCUUCUCCUUGGAGAGUCCAUUGAUUCCCAUGGCUUUCUCUAUUGAGUCCAGGGAAAAGACUCUAAACCUAAAGCACCUGCCCUGACGUCUCACUCCUGCACCAACUGCAUUUUUAAAUCUCCCAUCAAUGUCUCUGCUUAGAUGAUUCAGCCUCUUGAAAUGUCCACUUAACAUCUUUCCCUCAAGCCAAUCCCUCUCUUGCCUUGCUCAUCAGAUUUAGAGGACCUCGUUCUCUCAGUCAUGUGGCCUGGGACCACUGUGGUCAUUCUACACCUCAUGGUGACUGCCUGCUUAGCAUCACUUAAUAAGUGUUUGCUGAAUGAAAUGAAGAAAUGAAUCUUGUAUUUUUCCCUCUGUUUCAUUCCUCUUCUCUCUCACUGAUAGAGUUUGGAGGUUUGUCUCCUCUAAAUCUCAUUUUGAAAUGUGAUCCCCAGCAUUGGAAGUGGGGCCUGGUGGGAGGUCAUGGGGGCGGAUCCCUCAGGAAUGGUUUGGUGCCUUCCUUGUAGUAAGCAGUGGCUUCUCACUCUAUUAGUUCACAUGACAGCUGGUUGUUUAAAAGGGGCUGGAGGCUAGGUGAG
rnacentral:lncRNA from 1 species